CUUCCUGCGUUGGCUGCGCGCCGAGGCCGCUGCCUUCGGCGCGCGCGAGCGCGAGUCGGCGCCGGCCGGCUGGACCAUGCAGUGGCACAGGUACGACCCGGAGCCGCCGCGGCCAGCGCCCCUGGCGGCCACCGCCGCAACCGCAACCGCCGCCCCGUCCCGCUCCCGCCCCGCUGCCGUGUUCACCGCUCGCAGCUGUGGGGCACGGAGUGUCAGGAGAGCCGCCGGGACCCGGCGCUGGGUGCAGACCGAAUGGGGGUCGUCCUCGGGUGGAACGGAGUGUGUCUGGCUACGUGUGUUGGAUGAGGGUGACGGGCUGUUCAAUGGUGAUGCGGCUCCUCUCACGCUGCUGCCUUCAAAAAGUCCUUCUGAUGAAUGUGUGUCAUUUCUGCUGAGUAAUAAAGUGCCGCCGCAUGAUAUGGAUGUUGGCAGGGAUACAUGGAGUUUAUAUAUAUAUAUAUAUAUAUAUAUAUAUAUAUAUAUAUAUAUAGAGUUCGGUAUAUCAUCAUCAAGUUGUUGACAUGUGUGUUUAUGAGUAUUGCUUCAAGACCCUGCGAUUGCCGCGUGUUCCCCGUGUGCGCGUGUUUCAGUACGCAACAUUGUUGGGAAACGAUGGUGUCAUACGAAAACCCAGUACAGCAGGAUGUUUCAUUGCUCUGGAACAUGGCAAAACGCUGUGAAUGGGAUGUUGGAAAUCUUGCCUUGAAUUCCGUAGCAAUUAUAAGUUCAUCUUGUCAGCCAGCCAACAAGGCGUUCUAUGCACCCAUUGUUCAUCCAGGGCGCAAAAUGAUCUUAGUAGUCGGAGCGCCCUUAAACCUUAAUGAUCACCACCAUCAUCGAUGCUCGUCCAGCAAGAGCCGCGCCACUAGCCUGAGCAUUAUUGAGAGCGAGUGCGGCGCGCCGUGGGAGGUCGUCCAGGUCACGUGGGGCGCCAUCUGAGCGGUGGCUGGCGCCGCGCGCCCUCGCUCCUGUGCGGAUGAGGUUAGAUAGUCACGCACCUCGACCACCGACCGGCUGUUCUCCCCAGCUACGCUGUCGCCCUCCCUGACACGGGAGCAGAAGCGCUACACCUACACCAACACGCAGACGGGAGCCACGCUCGCCAGCUACCCGGACCUGGCGGCCGACACCGAAGCGGCCGGUCCGGCCCCGCAGCCCGGAGCUGAGCCGCCACCGGAGCCCGCGCAGCCGCUGGUGGAGGGCGUGCCGUUCGGUCCGGAGCCGUCUCAGGCGGUGACCGCUCCGCUUCCGCCUCCGC